rnacentral:rRNA from 1 species
GAUGAACGCUAGCUACAGGCUUAACACAUGCAAGUCGAGGGGAAACGAUAUUGGAAGCUUGCUUCCGAUAGACGUCGACCGGCGCACGGGUGAGUAACGCGUAUCCAACCUGCCCAUCACUUGGGGAUAACCUUGCGAAAGUAAGACUAAUACCCAAUGAUAUCUCUAGAAGACAUCUGAAGGAGAUUAAAGAUUCAUCGGUGAUGGAUGGGGAUGCGUCUGAUUAGCUUGUUGGCGGGGUAACGGCCCACCAAGGCGACGAUCAGUAGGGGUUCUGAGAGGAAGGUCCCCCACAUUGGAACUGAGACACGGUCCAAACUCCUACGGGAGGCAGCAGUGAGGAAUAUUGGUCAAUGGACGAGAGUCUGAACCAGCCAAGUAGCGUGCAGGAUGACGGCCCUAUGGGUUGCAAACUGCUUUUAUAAGGGAAUAAAGUGAGUCUCGUGAGACUUUUUGCAUGUACCUUAUGAAUAAGGACCGGCUAAUUCCGUGCCAGCCGCCGCGGUAA